UACGUAGGGUGCGAGCGUUAAUCGGAAUUACUGGGCGUAAAGCGUGCGCAGGCGGUUUCUGAAGUCCGUUGUGAAAGCCCCGGGCUUAACCUGGGAAUGGCAGUGGAAACUAGGAGACUUGAAUCUGGCAGAGGGGGGUGGAAUGCCACGUGUGGCAGUGAAAUGCGUAGAGAUGUGGCGGAACACCGAUGGCGAAGGCAGCCCCCUGGGUCAAGAUUGACGCUCAGGCACGAAAGCGUGGGGAGCAAACAGG
rnacentral:rRNA from 1 species